GCUGGGCAUGGUGGCGGGUGCCCGUAAUCCCAGCUACUUGGGAGGCUGAGGCAGGAGAAUUGCUUGAACCCAGGAGGUGGAGGUUGCAGUGAGCUGAGGUCCUUCCUGCCUCCAGCCUGGGUGACAGAGUGAGACUCUGUCUCAA
rnacentral:sRNA from 1 species